UACGUAGGUGGCGAGCGUUGUCCGGAUUUACUGGGCGUAAAGGGAGCGUAGGCGGACUUUUAAGUGAGAUGUGAAAUACUCGGGCUCAACUUGAGUGCUGCAUUUCAAACUGGAAGUCUAGAGUGCAGGAGAGGAGAAUGGAAUUCCUAGUGUAGCGGUGAAAUGCGUAGAGAUUAGGAAGAACACCAGUGGCGAAGGCGAUUCUCUGGACUGUAACUGACGCUGAGGCUCGAAAGCGUGGGUAUCGAACAGG
rnacentral:rRNA from 1 species